UACGUAGGUGGCAAGCGUUGUCCGGAUUUACUGGGCGUAAAGAGCGCGCAGGCGGCUGGUCAAGUCCGAUGUGAAAUCUCCCGGCUUAACUGGGAAACUGCAUCGGAAACUGAUCGGCUUGAAGGUGGGAGAGGGUAGUGGAAUUCCCGGUGUAGUGGUGAAAUGCGUAGAUAUCGGGAGGAACACCAGUGGCGAAGGCGGGCAUCUGGGCCAACACUGACGCUGAGGCGCGAAAGCUAGGGGAGCAAACAGG
rnacentral:rRNA from 1 species